GGAUCCAGGUGGACACAAUCAGGGGUUGAAAAGAGGAAAACCCUAUUGACCAAACGCCUCUAUGCAAUAAGAAAAGGUAAGUAGUUGGAUAAUGCUCUGUAUUACAGAGGGUGUCUCCAUUACAAGUCACCGGGGUGAGCGGAGUGGCAUUGAGUCCAGAGCUCUGCAGUGUGGAUUUGCAGAGGACUGUCAGAAUUUAUGAUAAUCGGACAUGAGAGGACAUUAUGUAGGUGCUGACAGUAAGUUCCGUUACUGAAUUAUCCUAAAAAUAUAUAUACCAAGGCAAUGAUGGAGCAAAGAGUUUAAUAAAGAACAAUUACCAUGGAAACCAAUAGAAUGUUUCUGUAAGUAGUACUUCCCCACCCAACCUAGCAUUCCAAGCUCG